UAAUACGGAGGAUGCGAGCGUUAUCCGGAUUUAUUGGGUUUAAAGGGUGCGUAGGCGGAAAAAUAAGUCAGUGGUGAAAACCUUCAGCUUAACUGGAGACUUGCCAUUGAUACUGUUAUUCUUGAGUAUAGUUAAGGUAGGCGGAAUGUGUAAUGUAGCGGUGAAAUGCUUAGAUAUUACACAGAACACCAAUUGCGAAGGCAGCUUACUGAGCUAUAACUGACGCUGAUGCACGAAAGCGUGGGGAGCGAACAGGAUUAGAUACCCUGGUAGUCCACGCCGUAAACGAUGAUCACUCGCUGUUGGCGAUACACAGUCAGCGGCUAAGCAAAAGCAUUAAGUGAUCCACCUGGGGAGUACGGCCGCAAGGCUGAAACUCAAAGGAAUUGACGG
rnacentral:rRNA from 1 species